AUGCUUAUGUGUUGGACUAUUUGGAACGAGAUGAAUGCAAGGGUCUUCCGACACAAAUCCGCCCCUACGACAAUUCUUAUGGAGGAGAUUAAAAUAGAAGCGAGGCUUUGGAUCACCGCGAGUGCUAAGCGUGUGGGUCAACUCAUGCCGGGAGGGUAG
rnacentral:rRNA from 1 species